AUUGAACGCUGGCGGCAUGCUUUACACAUGCAAGUCGAACGGUAACAGGCCUUCGGGUGCUGACGAGUGGCGAACGGGUGAGUAAUGCAUCGGAACGUGCCCAAUCGUGGGGGAUAACGUAGCGAAAGUUACGCUAAUACCGCAUAAGCCCUGAGGGGGAAAGUGGGGGACCUUCGGGCCUCACGCGAUGAGAUGAGCCGAUGCCGGAUUAGCUAGUUGGCGGGGUAAAGGCCCACCAAGCGACGAUCCGUAGCUGGUCUGAGAGGAUGAUCAGCCACACUGGAACUGAGACACGGUCCAGACUCCUACGGGAGGCAGCAGUGGGGAAUAUUGGACAAUGGGGGCAACCCUGAUCCAGCCAUGCCGCGUGAGUGAAGAAGGCC
rnacentral:rRNA from 1 species